GCGGCCGCGCGAUUCCCGCUGCACGUACAACGUCACCGCGAAAUAACGUGCAGCUGUGAAGCCGCGAAGAGAUGGAAAAUUUGCAAGCUGGCGGAUUGAAAGAAAUACAAGAGCCGGCGUCUUUCGAUACAAGUGUGAGCGCUUCUAGGUUCUACGCCCGAAGAACGGCGACUCAGUACUGGCCGACGCCUGUUCACGUGAGCAGCAUGAGGCAUACCUGUGAUACAUUGUUCCGAAGAUGAACUAAGGUCUGACGUGUUUGGAAGGACAUGAGGAGAGGAGAGAUGCUUAUACUGUAUGUCCACCAGAGUGACUACUAAUCUAAAUAAGUGGAAGAAUGACACAGACUAUGAGAAGACUAUGGGGAUCUGAAUGCUGCAACGAUGGGUCUGUCCUCAUCAAACCUACAUCUGAAGAGCUACAGCUUUUUAAUCAGGAGCCAAUGGAAUGCUUUCUUUUAAUGGGUAUGAUCUGGUGACCUCUCUGCUCCAUUUUGACAGUCUGGUUUUGCAUUCACUCUCCUGUCUGCUUUAAUGAAUCUCAUGGAGAGAUGUCUAGACUUUGAAGAUAUACAGAUAUUUCUGUCUCUGUUUUUGUUUGUAGCAGAAGAUCUGCGCUUAGAACUAGCUGUAGUCAAGCCUGUCAAAUUCAAUCUUCAUGCGCGAGAGAAAAAUAGCGCACUCUCUCACCUCUUCUUUAAGAGGACAAACACUACCUUUGUUGCAGAAUGGAAAAUUGCACACUGCUUUGUUGUGUUUUUGUGAUUGUGAUGUAAAUCCCAUUUCCACCAACAUAUAUUUUGAAAAACAGUUUUGUGGGUGGUAGGAAGUGACAGUAUAAGCUUACACUAUAAUGUUACAUCAUAUAUUAAAUCUAAACUAACCGCUAGGUUGCAUCUUUAAAGGAUUAGUUCACUUCAGAAUUAAUUUCCUGAUAAUUUACUCACCCCCGUGACAUCCAAGAUGUUUAUGUCUUUCUUUCUGCAGUCGAAAAGAAAUUAAGGUUUUUGAGGAUUUUUCUCCAUAUAGUGGACUUCACUGGGGUACAACAUGUUGAAGGUCCAAAUUGAAGUUUAAAUGCAGCUUCAAAGGGCUCUACACGAUCCCAGAAGUGGAAUAAGGGUCUUAACAAUAAAAACGUAUAUAUUUUUUUAACCACAAAUGCUCGUCUUGCACUGCUCUGUGAUACACCACGCAUUAUGUAAUCAUGUUGGAAAGGUCACGCGGAAGUACCAAUCCAGUGCAAAAGAACAUGCAAAGAAACACCCUUUACAAAAAAAAAGGUAAAACAACGUCAGACGAUUUUGAAGUUGGAGGACAAAAUUAGAUGGAUUUUUUUGCCCUACCACGAUGCUUCCGCCUACGUCACGAGUGACCUUUCCAACAUGAUUACGUAAUACGCGGAGCAUCGCAAUUUUUAUUUGUUUUAAAUGACCAAUCGUUUCGCUAGUUAAGACCCUUAUUCCUUGUCUGUGAUGGUCUCGAGCCCUUUGAACCUGCACUGAAACUGUAAUUUGGACCUUUAACCCAUUGUAUCCCAGUGAAGUCCACUAUAGAGAGAAAAAUCCUGGAAUGUUUUCCUCAAAAACCUUAAUUUCUUUUUGACUGAAGAAAGAAAGACAUAAACAUCUUGGAUGACAUGUGGGUGAGUAAAUUAUCAGGACAUUUUAAUUCUGAAGUGAACUAAUCCUUUAAAUUUCUUCACCUAUUAUAGACAAUAAGCUAUUUAUGCACCUGCGACAUCUGAUUUUUUUCCUCUGGUAGGCAUUAGAUAAAUAUAUUAGUUUUCAGUUGCUGUUUCAAAAAUGGUCUUUUUGCUAAUUGACACUAACAAGUAGAUUAACCUCAUGAUACAAUAUCCCUUUGCCCUAAAUGGCUACAUUCAGUGCUAACUACUUUCAAAUUCUAUUACAGGUACCACCUGUUUUCCACCUGCCUAAGCAUCAACAUUACCCAAGAUCUCAGACGUAUAUUAAUGAUGUCAAAGUUGCUACAUCUACAUAGACUGAGUUUUAAGAUUGAUGGUUGGGCUCUUCGAAGUUUGAAAGCUGCUUCAUCUGUUCCACUUGCAUAGAGUGCCUUCUCACAAGCUUCUUUUUCGUCCUGAGGUUGCCUCUCUUUGGUUUACCAUAGUCAGCCAGAUCCUGGCCAUAUCCAGAUCAGAAGGAGGACCCGUGCCUAAACACGACCACCACGCAUCCCUGAAGUGUCAGCAGAGAUUGUGUCAACUAGACCAUCCCCUGUAAAGGCCUCAUCAACAUGACAGCCAGUGGCACAGAUCCCCAUACUGGUGUGAUGAAUCCGAUCUUCAACCAGAUGGAACUGGAUUAAAUAUUUUGAAUGUUCUGAUCCAUUCUGACUUCUGAUCUGUAAUUCUGCCUGAAUCAUAAAUUAUGCACUGUCCGUUCGUUGGCGAGAGGAGAACUGGCCUCCCGACUGAGCCUGGUUUCUCCAAAGAUUUUUUUUCUUCUCCAUUCUGUCACCUGAUGGAGUUUGGGUUCCUUGCCGCUGUCGCCUCUGGCUUGCUUAGUCAGGGAAGUUUAAUA